rnacentral:rRNA from 1 species
GUCGAAAAUGUUGUCUCUCUUGAGUGGAUCCUGAGUACGACGGAACACGUGAAAUUCCGUCGGAAUCUGGGAGGACCAUCUCCUAAGGCUAAAUACUCUCUAGUGACCGAUAGUGAACCAGUACCGUGAGGGAAAGGUGAAAAGCACCCCGGAAGGGGAGUGAAAUAGAACCUGAAACCGUGUGCUUACAAGUAGUCAGAGCCCGUUAAUGGGUGAUGGCGUGCCUUUUGUAGAAUGAACCGGCGAGUUACGAUUUGAUGCAAGGUUAAGCAGUAAAUGUGGAGCCGUAGCGAAAGCGAGUCUGAAUAGGGCGUUUAGUAUUUGGUCGUAGACCCGAAACCAGGUGAUCUACCCUUGGUCAGGUUGAAGUUCAGGUAACACUGAAUGGAGGACCGAACCGACUUACGUUGAAAAGUGAGCGGAUGAACUGAGGGUAGCGGAGAAAUUCCAAUCGAACCUGGAGAUAGCUGGUUCUCUCCGAAAUAGCUUUAGGGCUAGCCUCAAGUGAUGAUUAUUGGAGGUAGAGCACUGUUUGGACGAGGGGCCCCUCUCGGGUUACCGAAUUCAGACAAACUCCGAAUGCCAAUUAAUUUAACUUGGGAGUCAGAACAUGGGUGAUAAGGUCCGUGUUCGAAAGGGAAACAGCCCAGACCACCAGCUAAGGUCCCAAAAUAUAUGUUAAGUGGAAAAGGAUGUGGCGUUGCCCAGACAACUAGGAUGUUGGCUUAGAAGCAGCCAUCAUUUAAAGAGUGCGUAAUAGCUCACUAGUCGAGUGACACUGCGCCGAAAAUGUACCGGGGCUAAACAUAUUACCGAAGCUGUGGAUUGUCCUUUGGACAAUGGUAGGAGAGCGUUCUAAGGGCGUUGAAGCAUGAUCGUAAGGACAUGUGGAGCGCUUAGAAGUGAGAAUGCCGGUGUGAGUAGCGAAAGACGGGUGAGAAUCCCGUCCACCGAUUGACUAAGGUUUCCAGAGGAAGGCUCGUCCGCUCUGGGUUAGUCGGGUCCUAAGCUGAGGCCGACAGGCGUAGGCGAUGGAUAACAGGUUGAUAUUCCUGUACCACCUAUAAUCGUUUUAAUCGAUGGGGGGACGCAGUAGGAUAGGCGAAGCGUGCGAUUGGAUUGCACGUCUAAGCAGUAAGGCUGAGUAUUAGGCAAAUCCGGUACUCGUUAAGGCUGAGCUGUGAUGGGGAGAAGACAUUGAGUCUUCGAGUCGUUGAUUUCACACUGCCGAGAAAAGCCUCUAGAUAGAAAAUAGGUGCCCGUACCGCAAACCGACACAGGUAGUCAAGAUGAGAAUUCUAAGGUGAGCGAGCGAACUCUCGUUAAGGAACUCGGCAAAAUGACCCCGUAACUUCGGGAGAAGGGGUGCUCUUUAGGGUUAACGCCCAGAAGAGCCGCAGUGAAUAGGCCCAAGCGACUGUUUAUCAAAAACACAGGUCUCUGCUAAACCGUAAGGUGAUGUAUAGGGGCUGACGCCUGCCCGGUGCUGGAAGGUUAAGAGGAGUGGUUAGCUUCUGCGAAGCUACGAAUCGAAGCCCCAGUAAACGGCGGCCGUAACUAUAACGGUCCUAAGGUAGCGAAAUUCCUUGUCGGGUAAGUUCCGACCCGCACGAAAGGCGUAACGAUUUGGGCACUGUCUCAACGAGAGACUCGGUGAAAUCAUAGUACCUGUGAAGAUGCAGGUUACCCGCGACAGGACGGAAAGACCCCGUGGAGCUUUACUGUAGCCUGAUAUUGAAAUUCGGCACAGCUUGUACAGGAUAGGUAGGAGCCUUUGAAACGUGAGCGCUAGCUUACGUGGAGGCGCUGGUGGGAUACUACCCUAGCUGUGUUGGCUUUCUAACCCGCACCACUUAUCGUGGUGGGAGACAGUGUCAGGCGGGCAGUUUGACUGGGGCGGUCGCCUCCUAAAAGGUAACGGAGGCGCUCAAAGGUUCCCUCAGAAUGGUUGGAAAUCAUUCAUAGAGUGUAAAGGCAUAAGGGAGCUUGACUGCGAGACCUACAAGUCGAGCAGGGUCGAAAGACGGACUUAGUGAUCCGGUGGUUCCGCAUGGAAGGGCCAUCGCUCAACGGAUAAAAGCUACCCCGGGGAUAACAGGCUUAUCUCCCCCAAGAGUUCACAUCGACGGGGAGGUUUGGCACCUCGAUGUCGGCUCAUCGCAUCCUGGGGCUGUAGUCGGUCCCAAGGGUUGGGCUGUUCGCCCAUUAAAGCGGUACGCGAGCUGGGUUCAGAACGUCGUGAGACAGUUCGGUCCCUAUCCGUCGUGGGCGUAGGAAAUUUGAGAGGAGCUGUCCUUAGUACGAGAGGACCGGGAUGGACAUACCUCUGGUGUACCAGUUGUCGUGCCAACGGCAUAGCUGGGUAGCUAUGUGUGGACGGGAUAAGUGCUGAAAGCAUCUAAGCAUGAAGCCCCCCUCAAGAUGAGAUUUCCCAACUUCGGUUAUAAGAUCCCUCAAAGAUGAUGAGGUUAAUAGGUUCGAGGUGGAAGCAUGGUGACAUGUGGAGCUGACGAAUACUAAUCGAUCGAAGACUUAAUCAA